CUACAUGGACUAUAGUGUUUAGGUCUGAAACCUGUAGGCUACAUGGACUAUAGUGUUUAGGUCUGAAACCUUUAGGCUACAUGGACUAUAGUGUUUAGGUU